rnacentral:rRNA from 1 species
UACGUAGGGGGCAAGCGUUGUCCGGAAUCAUUGGGCGUAAAGCGCGUGUAGGCGGUCCGGUAAGUCGGCUGUGAAAGUCCAGGGCUCAACCCUGGGAUGCCGGUCGAUACUGCCGGACUAGAGUUCGGAAGGGGCGAGUGGAAUUCCCGGUGUAGCGGUGAAAUGCGCAGAUAUCGGGAGGAACACCUAUGGCGAAGGCAGCUCGCUGGGACGUUACUGACGCUGAGACGCGAAAGCGUGGGGAGCAAACAGG